rnacentral:lncRNA from 1 species
GAGGUGGUCGUGGUGCGGGCCAAGUAAGGAUGCCCUGUCUGAUGUGGCCAAUGAAGACUGGGAAACUGCUUCUGAGAGCAGUGACGUGGCAGAUAGACGAGGCCUUGAUGAAGGUGUGCGUCAACAAUCAUCGGGGUCUAAAAAGGGCGCACCCACAAGCUCUAAGGCCCCUGGUGGUGGCCAGGAACGACGCCGUUCAGGUGGAGAAGUACGCCGAGGUGGAGGAGGAGCUCCUGGAGACCGCAAUGGUCGAGGCCCUGUGCAACGCAGAGACUCUGGGGGUGGCGGGCCACCUGCCAGAAUGGGCCGCGGGAGUGGCUCCCGCCAGGAGGUUCGAUCACGCCAGCAGCAACAGCAGCGGCUGGAGACGUGAGUGCCAAGGGGGAGCCCUCACCAGCCACCUUGUGUACGGAUGGAUGAAGUGAAGCUGCAGGACCCAGUGGAGUUCAAGCUGCCCUUACUGACCUUGGUACCAGGAAACACAUGAAGAAAUCGGAGCAAGGGCAACCAAAUGGAAAACUUGAAAAAGAGAAACCGAAUGCGCUGGAAGGUAUUGACUUAAGCAACUAUGCUGGUGUCGUCGUAUAGAUGACCACCCAGCCGUGACCGAUUCUUCUCUAUGCGACGCUGAUGAUGGAGACUUUCAAGAGGUAACCUCUAAGAAACGUCACAAGACUUUGGCUGAUGGAGACUCCAAGAAAAAAAAAGAGGCAAGAAGCAAAACCAGUGUACAUGGUCGUCAAAACAAGCUUCCUCCUCGCCUAAUUAAAAAGCGGGAAUCUGAUCGCUUGUUUUCUUCAAAGACUGAGUGUCAGCUACCUGCGAAGACUGAGGGAGGUGCUACAGACUCUGUUGAUUCCCCCAUUACAAAGACUCAGCAGCAUCCUACCUUUAGUACAAAAGAACUGGCUCCAACGG